rnacentral:rRNA from 1 species
GAAUAUUGGACAAUGGGCGAAAGCCUGAUCCAGCAAUGCCGCGUGUGUGAAGAAGGCCUGCGGGUUGUAAAGCACUUUCAGUAGGGAAGAUAAUGACUGUACCUACAGAAGAAGCACCGGCUAACUCCGUGCCAGCAGCCGCGGUAAUACGGAGGGUGCGAGCGUUAAUCAGAAUUACUGGGCGUAAAGCGCACGUAGGUGGUUUAGUAAGUCGGAUGUGAAAUCCCCGGGCUUAACCUGGGAACUGCAUUCGAUACUGCCUAACUAGAGUCUGGAAGAGGGAUGCGGAAUUCCGGGUGUAGCGGUGAAAUGCGUAGAUAUCCGGAGGAACAUCAGUGGCGAAGGCGGCAUCCUGGUCUAAGACUGACACUGAGGUGCGAAAGCGUGGGGAGCAAACAGG